GCCAGGGUGGCGUAGUGGUUAGCGAGUCUGCCUACUGAGCAGGAGCUUUGGGUUCGAUUCCCAGCCUUGGUA